UUGAGUGAAUCACAAGGCUUCUGCCUCGGGGCCUUCUCCAUCUCCCUUUGCUCUGCUCAGAAGGCUCCUCCUCCCGCACCUGCACGGUCCUGCCUCCCUUCUUCCUGGUCUGCUCAGACUCCGCCUUGCCGGGAAGACCUUCCCUGGCGGCCCUCCUGCAGACAUGUCUGUUCCAGUGACGGUUUGGUUUCUGUAUCCUACUUGGGCCUGACGAAUGCGGAGCGACCCCGUUCCCUCUCGGCGCUCACCCACAGAGCGCGGUGUACUGCAUGUGUGGGAACAACAAGAAGAUCUAAAAUGGAAAUAAACGUAUUUUGGGCA